rnacentral:rRNA from 1 species
GGCUCAGAUUGAACGCUGGCGGCAUGCCUAACACAUGCAAGUCGAACGGCAGCACGGUCUAGUUUACUAGAUGGGUGGCGAGUGGCGGACGGGUGAGUAAUGCGCAGGAAUAUGCCUUAAAGUGGGGGACAACUUGGGGAAACUCAAGCUAAUACCGCGUAAUCUCUUCGGAGAAAAGCUGGGGACCUUCGGGCCUGGCGCUUUAAGAUUAGCCUGCGUCCGAUUAGCUAGUUGGUAGGGUAAAGGCCUACCAAGGCGACGAUCGGUAGCUGGUCUGAGAGGAUGACCAGCCACACUGGAACUGAGACACGGUCCAGACUCCUACGGGAGGCAGCAGUGGGGAAUAUUGGACAAUGGGGGAAACCCUGAUCCAGCAAUGCCGCGUGUGUGAAGAAGGCCUGAGGGUUGUAAAGCACUUUCAGUGGGGAGGAGGAUUGAUAGGUUAAGAGCUAAUUAAUUGGACGUUACCCACAGAAGAAGCACCGGCUAACUCCGUG